rnacentral:piRNA from 1 species
AGGCAUUCUUUUUGCAUGUUGGUAUUC